AACAUUCGUAGUGUCCGAAGCGACUCCUUAAGCAGUUUCAGCACUGUGCUAGAGGAGGAGGAGGGUCGCUUUCCGCAACAUUAUUUGGGCAAGUUCUUCAAGCCACUUUCAUUCGAGAUGAAUUUCGACAAUUUUUCCCGAUUUGAUGCUUCGAUGAGUGCAAUGACUUUACCGCCUGUUGCCCAUCUCUGUUCUUCAGCUUCACAAGUGAGAAUAGACGAGCAUCGUCAUGAUGAAGAAGUAGAGCAUUCCAAGCAAGCAGUUUUGGAAUGGAUGAAAUCUGGAGAAGGAGUAAAGACGGCGGAUGUCAGACCACACGAGUACUCUACACA